UACGUAGGGUGCAAGCGUUUAAUCGGAAUUACUGGGCGUAAAGCGUGCGCAGGCGGUUUUUGUAAGUCUGUCGUGAAAUCCCCCGGGCUCAACCUGGGAAUUGCGAUGGAGACUGCAAGGCUAGAAUCUGGCAGAGGGGGGGUAGAAUUCCACGUGUAGCAGUGAAAUGCGUAGAGAUGUGGAGGAACACCGAUGGCGAAGGCAGCUGGCUACACAAAUAUUGACACUGAGGCACGAAAAGCGUGGGGGAGCAAACAGG
rnacentral:rRNA from 1 species